CGUUAAUAACAACUCGUGAUUGGGAAUAUGGAAUUGGAAAAGAAGAUAUGGAUGAGGACAAUGUGAUCGUUGAAGAAGAUAUAUUAGGAUUUGAACCUGACGCAGUGGAGGAUGGGGCAGUGGAGGAUGUGGAGGAAAUUCAUAUUGAAUAGUUGGAGCAACUCAAAGAUAAACAUGGAAUAUGAGAAUGUUUUAUCACUUACCAGUAUCUCCAAAUAUUGCAUAGAAAAGAGAUUGGAGAUGUUUUUUUGAUAGUUAACACUUUUUUUGAUUAACCACACAAUAUAUAUUUUGUGCAGGAAGUGGUUAUUAAUAUUGUGAUAUUGUCGCACUUGGUGAUACAAAUUAGAAACAAUGGUAUCUACA